rnacentral:rRNA from 1 species
UACGUAGGGGGCUAGCGUUGUCCGGAAUCAUUGGGCGUAAAGCGCGUGUAGGCGGUUCGGUAAGUCCGCUGUGAAAGUCGGGGGCUCAACCCUCGAAUGCCGGUGGAUACUGUCGGGCUAGAGUGCGGAAGAGGCGAGUGGAAUCCUGGUGUAGCGGUGAAAUGCGCAGAUAUCAGGAGGAACACCAAUUGCGAAGGCAGCUCGCUGGGACGCUACUGACGCUGGAGAACGCGAAAGCGUGGGGAGCAA